rnacentral:rRNA from 1 species
UUAAAAAGCUCGUAGUUGAACCUUGGGCCUGGCUGGCCGGUCCGCCUCACCGCGUGUACUGGUCCGGCCGGGCCUUUCCCUCUGUGGAACCCCAUGCCCUUCACUGGGUGUGGCGGGGAAACAGGACUUUUACUAUGAAAAAAUUAGAGUGCUCCAGGCAGGCCUAUGCUCGAAUACAUUAGCAUGGAAUAAUAGAAUAGGACGUGUGGUUCUAUUUUGUUGGUUUCUAGGACCGCCGUAAUGAUUAAUAGGGACAGUCGGGGG